UGGCGGACGGGUGAGUAAUGUCUGGGAAACUGCCUGAUGGAGGGGGAGUAACUACUGGAAACGGUAGCUAAUACCGCAUAACGUCGCAAGACCAAAGAGGGGGACCUUCGGGCCUCUUGCCAUCGGAUGUGCCCAGAUGGGAUUAGCUAGUAGGUGGGGUAACGGCUCACCUAGGCGACGAUCCCUAGCUGGUCUGAGAGGAUGACCAGCCACACUGGAACUGAGACACGGCCAGACUCCUACGGGAGGCAGCAUG
rnacentral:rRNA from 1 species